GCGUGUGCGCAGCUUGGAGCUCUGAGAGGGGCUCGGCGUCUCUGGGCUGCUCCUCACUGGUUCUCUGAGAGCAGCUGGCAAAGGGAUGGAGGGGCAGAGUAUCUCCUCAACAAGUUUGCUGACGGCACAAAGCCGUCAGGAGCGGCCGAUACUCCAGAGGGCUCUGUGCUGCCCUUCGGAAAGACCUGCACAGCUUGAAGAGAGGGUCAGAGAAGAACUGUGUGAAACUCAACAGAGGCGAAUUCCUCCCUGCCCCUGGGAGGAAUAACCCUGGCACCAGCACAGGCCGGGGCUGACCUGCCGGGGGGCAGCUCUGCCGGGAAGGACCUGGGCGUCCUGGUGGACAACGAGCUGUUCCUGAGCCAGCAGCGUGUCCCUGGGCCAAGGCCAGUGCUGUCCAGGGAUCCAUAAGGAGACCAUUGCCAGCAGGUCCAGGGAGGCGAUCCUGCCCCUCUGCUCAGCCCUGGUGAGGUCCCAUCUGGAGUGUCCAGUUCUGGCUCCCCAGCCCAAGGGAUGUGAAGCUCCUGGAGAGGGUCCAGCACAGGGUGACAAAGAGAGUCACCCUCUCUUCGGGGCAUCUCUGUUAAGAGGAAAGGCAGAGGGAGCUGGGUCUGUUCAGCCUCGAGAACACAUGACAGAGAGGGAACCUUAUUAAUGUGUAUAAAUAUCCAAAGGGGGGGUGCUGAGGGGAUGGGUCCAGACACCUCAUGGUGGUGCCAACCGCUUGAACAUGAAUGAGGCAAGGGCCAGAAACUGAUGCACAGGAAGCUCCACCUGAAUAUAAGCAAGAAUGUCUUUACUGUGCAGGUGAUCACACACCCGGGAACAGAUUGCCCAGAUUGCCCAGAGGGGUUGUAGAGUCUCCUUUGUGGAAGAGGUACAAGAACCAUCUAGAUGCACUUCUGUGCCAUGUGCUCUGGGAUGACCCUGCCUCAGCAGAGAGGGGCCUUGAACUGAACGAUGUUUACAGCAGUCCAGAUGUGAAGGCUGGUUCUGCAUUAAGUCACCCUGAUCUUCUAAUCCCAGCCUGUCACAGGAACAAGAAUUUCAUCUACAGUUGCUGAAUUUUUCAAAGUGAAGGAAAAAGGACAUUACGUAGGCCAGGGGAUGAGGAAGGCUCCUUAGAGCUAUUGCAACUCCCAGCCUUUAUCCUCUGAGACUAUGUCACUGCUGGAGAAGGGAGAGAAUGGAGGAAUAAAGGUAUAAAAAGAAGUCACUGUCCCUCACAUGACCUCUGCUGGACUCCCAUAAAAUAAGCAUCAAUGCUUAAAAGGAUGGGACUACCCUUUCUAAUGCAGUUUUUUAAUUUUCUUUUGAUUUAUCUGUGGUGAAUUUAGAUAAGUCAGAUAUUUAGAAAAGUCCACAAAGAGUAGAAGAGGUAUUUUUGGAGAAGGACACAUGGAACUCACUUGAGCAGGUGAAAAAUUUUUAUGACUGUGCUGGAACAUGUGACACAAAUCUGUUUUUCCUUUGAAGAUUUCAACUACAGCAGCUUACAGAUACAUUUGGUUUUGCAGACCAGGAUAUGUCGACCAAAGGAACCAUUCUAGCUCCCUUUCAUAUUGCUGGGAGAGUCAUCUUUGACUGUAAGGGUACGUGGCCUCAGCCAGCAGUACGCAGCUGUGCACUCCUUGGGUGUAAAGGAAUUUCCUAGCCACAUGUCAACACCGCGAUUUCUGAACAGUUGAGUUCAGUGCAAAUAGUGUAGAGCAUUACAGAAUACGUGGUGGAAAAAGAGCCUGCCCAGGUGAUUGUGACGUGAUUGUACUCUGGUAAGAAGAAUGCAUCAGUUAUCUCAGUAUAUUUUGGAUCAGAGUUUAAAUGAGAUGUUGAAUACCUUGACAUACCAAUCACUUCAGCAAUACUUAAUCUUUUGACCCGCAGGAUAUUGCUUUACCAAGACAGAGAGGCAUAGUAGAAGACAAUUUUACUCAGUAAAAUAUAAGUGGACUAAAGGCAGACAGAAGCUGCCAGAACUGGAAAGCCAUACUUCAUGGACGUGUUUCAUAUAUUUAACAGAAAUUUGCACAAUAGCAACCCUCUUCCCCUUUCUCCAUUUUUAUAACUCUACAAUACCAGGGAAAUGUAUUAACAUGAAUAUGACUGUAUUUCUUUUAUUUAUAAGAAUAAACCUCUUUUCUUUCAGCUGCAGACCCAUUAUUGCAACAGUAAACAAGAAAAGAGGGAUCAAUCUUAAACUGAUAAACAGUGAAAAUUUUCACUGAGUAGAAUAAGUUAUGUUGAGGUUACAUGCUGAGAGCAGAUCAGGAGAAAGCCAGCACUUGUGUUUAUUGAGUUUUUCUAAUGAAAAGUAAACUCACAAAGCCUUGUUUAUUAGUUUUUUUUUAAUAACAACAGUACUGGGUACUGUGGUAUGCACAUAUACAUAUUGACAGUUAAAUCUGAAUUUGUUCUCCCCCAUGCAUAAAUAUGUAAACAUGUACUAAUAAUUUUACAUACAGAAACAGCUGAAAAGCCCAGAGAGAGUCUGGCUCCAGCAGAGAUUUUCCUGUUUACUUUGUUGUCUGUUGGAUCAUGGGCUUAUUAAAAUACAACUAUAAUUUGGUAAAGCUCUCAAGUAGAAUUUGUCCAAGAGGUUGCUUUGCACAAGUGCACAGUCUAAUGAUUAGUUUGCCAUCGGGAAGAAAGAAAUGCACAUAAAAAGAUAAAACCAACCAUAUAAUUGGGUUACAUGAGUGUAUUGCACUCUGGUUUAGAAAAGAUACCAGAUUGGUAGAUACAGAAUUUCAACACUAAAUUAUUUCUUUUUAUACCCAUCUCUUACAAAAAGAGAAGAAUCAUCCCUUUUUGUCUUUUCUGCUUUACAAGCAAAUGAGAACCAAAGCAGAGUCUUCUUUAGGCUAUACCUUUUAUUUACCACAGUCUGAUUGCCAAAGACGGAAUUCAGCUGAGAAUAAUACAUAUGCAUGAUGAUGGACUUGUCAUCCUUGCCUAGUGGGAAGGGAGGUUCUGGAUUGGGGAGGGGAAGUGAAAGGGUAAAAUUAAGCACCGGCUGAAAACUCUUUGAAUUUUGAAUUCCAGGUGAUGCUGUACAGGAUAGGACUUUGAAAGCAUCCUCUUUGGACAUGAGAAGUAGGAAAAACUAGAAAAACUAAAGUAGAUCAAACCCAUACUGGUGGGUCCACAGUCAAGUAAAAAAACUUGUACUUGUGGGCAAGGUACUGAUAGAUGUAGAAGGCAGAAGCCUAUUAAGCUUUGGAAAACUCUUUCUUGUAUUCUCUAAUGACCAUGCUGCUGUCUGCUGAAGAAAGAACAUGAAAAUUAUAUUGCUAGAGAUGUGUGCAGGGACUCCUCAGUGGUAACUCUGUGCAGUUCAUCAAGUAAAGUCUCCCUUCUUGCCAUUCCCAAAGGCUGAAACACAGUUACUUGAAUGGGCUUUUAUAUAAACAGAACAUAAAACACUCAUCAGCAUGUAUGCUACUGAUAUAAUUUUAAGUGUUUUGCUUAAAAAUACAUAACUGUGAAUAUUGAACUCCAUAGACAACUCCUCUGAGGAUGAAUAAGGAAACUUCAAAUUCAUCUGUUCUAAAUAACUUGAGAGGUAAAGGAUCUGUGUAUGUUACUUCUACCUGUUCUGCUUCAUUCUGUAGAAACAAGAUGAAAUACUUGUAGCCAUAUUGAAGAAGUGAAGCACUAGAAUCUCUAAAGGCCUCACAAGUGAAUUUUAUUUUGAAAGAGUAUGAUAAAAUUCCUCUCCACUUUCCAGGAGUCUUCACUUCUUAACACUUGUAGACUUGUUUUAACCUUGUUCACGAUCUUGACCUCAGUUGCAAGACAGCUCUUCCAAAUCCUGAAGCAAAGAAAAACAUAGAGUCUCCCAUUACUGCUACAGCUAAAGGACCCUUUUUGUUCCCCUACAUUGUAGGAGCUAGUGUUAUGUGCUUAUCCUGUCUUUCAGAAAAUGGGAAUGAUGUGAAUGUGCUAAAGGUAAAGGAUUUUCUUGCUUCUUCUCCACUUUGGCAUCUGCACAUGCCAGAGGCUGUGGACAUACUGUAUCUGCCAUGCUGCGGUGCCUCUAGGUCAGCUUUGUCGAGAUACAUUAUGUCAUCAGCAUUACAAAAUUCCUGAACAUUUACUGGGGAUAUUAGAUUUGCUCUCUCUGAAGUGAAGCUUAUAAACUGCAUCACCAGCUAUUAGGAGAAGGCAUGCAGUAUAUUUGUAGCUGUAAGUUAAGAAAAAUCUGUAUAUAUCUAUGUUUUCUAUUCACUGAAGGAAGAAUCACCUCUCUCCUCCUUAUCAAAUCCAAUACAUCAGAUAAAUACCUCUCUUUCCUCUCCAGUGAUAAUGAUAUAGUACAAAUACUCUCCUAUCAUAUAAAAAGACAUGUGCCUGCCUCUCUUUUUCCUUGUAAUGUUUCAUCACCUCUUUUAUUCACUUAAAAUGUGUAGUGAUUUCAAAAUCACAAGAGAAUUUUUGUAUUAUUUGUGACGGGUUAGGCAGCAUUAAAAUAAGCAAUUCCCAUCUAGUGCUUUAAUUAUUUUCUCUUUUAAUUUAAAUUUCAGCCUUAUGCUACUUGUGAGGCAGUAAUGUGUGUAUCUUCAUUACUGACUGACCGCUCUGUUGGGUUUUGUUACUGUUUUCAAGGUAGUUGAAACAGCAAUGUAUUUAUGGCAAAUCAGGUCAAUGAUAUGUUGGAGACACAUAAAACUGUUUUAAAAAACAUUAAUAAAGGACUUCUUUCCCAGUAACUAGUGGUAUCUAUAUUUCUUAUAGCAGAAUAUUCCUUGCUCUGAAUGUCUAAAUAAAACCCAUGACUGUGCAGAGGAGUGAUUUUUGAAUGCUGCAUUGGUCUGGACUAUUUAUGCUCUCAAAGUGCAAUACUGUCUUGGUGGUCUACUGAAAAAGCAUUUUCCUUUCCUUUUGCACUAUUUCAUAAUAUAGCUAUAAAAGGGAGUAUUACAAUAUUCUUGCAACGUAACUGCUCCCUGUAAUGCAGUGCAUAUGAAGUGCAAUCUGAAAAGACACCAUGAAACAAGAAGUCCAUUUUUCAUGUGUCAAAACUUACUAUCACAGUAGGUUUAAUUGUUGAAUUUUGAGUAGAAGACGUAUAUCUGUCUCACAAACAAAGGAGGAAAUUUUGUUAUUCCUAGGCCUUGUACAAGUGAAUGUAAUAUUUAGCAAAGGUAAUUUUAUAUUUAUAUGAACAGAAGACUUUUUCCUGACUACUUGAUUCACAUAAAACAAAGAUGUGCAUUAUGGUGUCUCAGCACUGUCUGGUCUUAAGAUGAGGCCCUGGGAGGUAAGGGGGAAAGAGUUGGUCAAAGAUACAUGACAAAUUAAAAACUGCAUGUCUAUGUGUCCAGAAGUUAUUGCAAAGCUAACACCCCUAACACCCCCUAAUAUCAUGUAAUAUUAGUAGAUAUUAGUAUCUAUUGAUUUUUGUGACAAAUAGAAUGCCAGAGGAAUAGUGGAAAAUGGAAAAUGAAGGAAAAACAGGACAAAAAAUAACACAUUUAAAAGCAGCCUUGCUUUUAUAGAGGUGAAAGAGGGAGGAGGAAAAUUAAAGAUGCCAAAGUCUUUAUCCUUAAAUGUGAUAGAAAUUUACUAUCUUUUCUUUCUCACUCAUAUAUUGUACACAGCAAAUACCAUACCAAACCUCCUUGUCCCCUCUUUUGAACCCCAAACCAGGUUUUCUACUGAUAGACUCGAGACUGUUGAAGGUAAGAGACAGAGAAGCACUAAAAAGCACUAACACUAGUGUGCUGUAAUGCAAGAACACAGCUCUGUUGGUAUUGUUUUCCUGUGGAUUGCAUUUGCUGAAGAAGGGGGCAGGAUACACAUGAUCAGUGUUUGAAUUGCAAACAUGGCACACAUUGGAUUCCUACAAUGUCCACCUGGGUCUGAAAGAUUUGGGAAAUUUGGGUGGCAUGUGUAUAACUGUUCUUCCACAAACACAUCCAAAAUGGAUCCACCUAUGUUAUCCACACUGGUUUUGCCAAGACCCUCAGUUGAAAUCCAGUUCAGAAAUAUUGCCUGCCUGUAAAAGCAACACUACUCCAGAACUGAUAGCCACUGGUUCAGCAAAAACAGUUCACUGUUCAUUUCAAAAUAAGAAAUUUCCAGAACUAUGUACCUCUGCCUGGAAUGCAGCUGAUUUCUCUACCACUGACAUCACUUACUGUCCUUUUUUGCUUUUGCUUAUUAUCCUCUGCAGUGUCAGACCAUAGUCCUCUAGUUUGUCAAACUUUUACAUUUUCUACCCUAUUUACCUUCUUCUUCUUAUAUGAGCAAUGAUCUGUUUGGUUUGGGUCCCCAAGGGCUGUGGCUAAUGGUGCUUAUGUAUCAUUCAGUCAGUCUUCCUCCCUUGCUGGAAACACUCUUCAUGCUCAUAGAAAUGCACAUAUAUUUCAUAAAUAGUCAAGUGCAAUUAGUUCUGAGUCAUAUAUGGGACUUUAUUUCUCCAGUUAUCUUUUUGUUAGAAAUAUCUUCAAUAGGGAUUAUUUGAUACUUUGUUUUAUUAAUAUUUUUCCUCUCAGUCUUAUACCCUCAAUUUCCUCUUUCAGAUGCUCAUUUAAACUUUAAACAUAUGGGGUAACAUGCAGGAGGUGACCAGAUAAUACAUUUCUAUGGCACAGCUCUGCAUACCUGGUAAUCUUCACACUUAAUUCCAGUUAAUAUAUUUUCUGUUGGAAUUCAUACCCAGGUGAUACUUGAAUGAAAGGAAUUCUGUUGUAACAGCUGUAAACAAAUAAACAAAAGGUCCCAAUAAUAAAUCAUUGUGAUGAUCUCACAUGUUAGCUAAAUGCUUAUCUUUUUUCCCCCACUUAGACUCUCAUGAAGGAGAGAAAUAAGAACAAGAUAGAUUGUAGGACAUUGAAGAGGACAACAUGUAGAAGCAGUUUAGUUAUGUUUUUCUACAGUCCUUCUUUCUGCUGCAAGUAGUUCGAUCUCAAGCAGAGAAAAAAGUAAUUUUGUCAGCUCCUGUGGACCAAAUUCCAGCCUCAAGCCAACUUGUGCCUCUUUGAGCUGGGGUUCAUGUGGUCUGAAUCAAGGAUGGCAGAAGCAGCAGCCUCCUCUUCCUGUUUCUGAGCAAAAGAUGAAUGGAUGUGGUACCAGAUGAAAGGCAAUGCUGAAUCUAAUGGAAUUAGUUUAUGGGGCAAGCCCCACCCAAAAGAAUUUUAUUUGUCUCCCAGCUACAAAUGAAAUUCAUUUGUUUUGCACUUCCUGACAGAUUCAAAUGUGUCAAAACAUUAGGGUCAUGAAGGUGGGUGGUUUGCAUUGACAACUGUGGUUUUUUGUGGCACACUGGUUUAAAUCAGCAGAUUUCAAACAGAUUUUGUAUUGAAGCUUAGGACAGAGUUGAACCCAAUUUUCUUGAAGAGAAUUGUGGUGUGUGAACAGAUUUAUAUGGCUGGUCAGUAGCUGGAAGCAAGGCCAUUAAUGUUUGAACGUCUCUGGAUGUUAUCUGGGGAACUGAAAAAGCAAUUAAGUAUUUAGAGAGACAUUUAAGAGACAAAAAUUAAAUAAAAUACAAAAUAAAGGCUUAGGGAAUUCAGUGAUACAAGGGAAGAAGACUGAAGAAAUGUUUGAGGAAAAAGCUGCAGUAGAAUGGGAAAAUACUGUUUAGAGAACAUGAGAAUUAAACUGAAUAAAGUUGAGAUCAGCCAGACAACUCCAAGCCCUUCAUCUUUAAAGCAGUUAUAGGUUAAGGGUGCAAAUGCUAGGCAUUUUUCCUGUAUCAACAAGAGAUGCAAUCAUUUAAAUUUGGCAGAGGUAAAGAUGUGCUCAUUAAAUGCACGUCUUGCAUCAGCUGAAGAGUGUGAGCUUGAUCUUAACAGCCCUUUGUAAUUUUUCAGACGAGAAUCUUACCUUCUCUUGCAAAGGCCAGCUGCCAGAAUGGUGCUUCUUAGAGAUAACAUUUAGGACAUUUAAAUAAACUAUCUGUGAAUAUUGUAACAUAAUUUAUAAGGACAAGAAGUAAAACUGGAUAUAUUGUUGGUAUUUGCAUGUCAAAUGCAAACUGGGUAUUUGGUAUCGCAUGGGAUUUCUAGCAUAUCAAUAAACUAGAAGUUGAAAGGGAAACACAAGACUGACGGUUGAGCUGGAUACACCUAUUCAUAAGUGAUGUUUGUGUAAAUGACUAGUGGUAAGGAACUAAUAUAUAUUUAUUUUGCUUAUUUGUGUUCGAGUGUGCAUGUAACUACAGCUUAUUUUGUUGACAAAUACAAUUAAAAGCUGUGGUAUUUUACAUCUGAGUUUUAGGUUCCAAUAAGAUGCAAAACCUAGAUCUUUAAGGACAAUUUAAAAUACACUUUUUCUCUGAGGAUAUUAAUUAUCCAGAUUUAUGAUGUAUAUAAUUUAUAAAAGUACAUAUGUAUGAAAUAACUAUGCUGUUCAUAGAAAUUUAUAAUUAUAGCAUACAAUGAAUAUCUAAGUUCUUGAAUUGCUAUGCUCCUGUUUUUGAUAUUGAAAAAAUUUUGUUUAAGGAAAACUUCUCUUAUAAUAAAACUGAUGAACUCAUUGUAGCAACUUUACUUAGUCUCUGUAACGUUUAUAAAUGCAUUUAAACUCUGCGUCUUUUUUUUAUAUUGGGAUGUUAUGAUACAUUACUUUCAGCUAUCUAGGUCAAAUCGUAUUAGUUAUUUAUAUUUAAUAGAUUUUAAAAGAGUUGGAGGAUUUGGUGUGUACAUUUUUCCUGAGGUAACAAGCUGAAUGGCAGUGCAGAUACCGGGUGGGUCUGUUGGUUGUCAUGGCACUCGGUGCAAAGGAGCAGAGCUAUCUCAGCCCCAUGCUGAGGGAAUUAAAAAUGAAAAUGAGAAAGAUUAGGUAAUGUAAUGUUGAUUUUUCUUGUGAUUUCUACUUCCUCUGAGAAAAACAAAUGCAAUAUUUUUAAUGAGGAAAAAAAAAUCUCUCAGAUACUCUUGGUAUUUAGAGAUGUCAGCAUUUGGUGUGACAACUUAUUUCUGCCUUGACCGCAUUUCUGUUUAUAAACCAUCACUAGAGGUUUAUAUUGGAAGGAGAUGAUACUCCAGAUGAUAUGUGCACACUGCCUAUAGUGAUGCUCUAGAAACUAGCCAGAUUUAACUCAGAUAUGUAUGUAAGAUUACUUCUAUACUGUGGUGUUUUACUCUCUGUGUGUCUGACCACCUUCUGUGACUUCCCUCACGCCAGCACAACCACCCAAAGCAUCUCUAGAAGCUGCUCCCACGCUGCAGCUAGUGCUGUGUGGCGUGUGCAGUGUGUGGGGGGCUCCAGCCCCCUCACCUUCCUGACGCUGCUCAGCCAGCCCUAGGUGCAGCUCAAACCAGACACUGCACUCUGCACGCUGUUGUUUUCCUGCCCCUUAUUUAUGAAGUGAAGUUAAAGGAGCCUCAGAUGAGGCUCACUAAUUUUUAGUAAUCCCUCAAGAGACACUCAUGGGUAUCAUGAAGAGAAGAAAACUUUUGAGUUUAAUCUCCAGUGGUUUGGGCUGGGGAAAUGUGGAGAUCCAUCUGUUUGCAGAUCACGCCCUGUGGAAGCUUUUGUCAGCAUGAAAGCCUUUUUUUUUUGUCAGCUGGGGACCAGUUGCCAAAGAUUAGGUACAACCUAAGCGUAGGUGCCAUGCUGGGAGACUCCCAGAUAUAAAUCAGGUACCAGUCCAGAAAGACCUUCAACUUCAACAAAUUUUCUCUUUUGUCUGUUGGCCCUGAUCUCAUUUUUUGGAUAUCUGCUGUCCAAAACCAGUUCUCUUGUACAUGUAAGGAUUACUGUCUUGAUGUCAGGUCACAGACAAAUAGAGAAGAAAUGGGCUAAUUUGGAAGUGGUCAGACUUUUAAAGAUCUUUGUAUGGCUGAGAGCCACCUGCUCCUUUCCUGCUCUGUGCCCAGUACCUCAUCCCCAGAGGGUACCAUCCUGGUCACUAUACUCCAGAUAUUUAGCAGCCUGUGGACAGUGGAUUAGGGUAAAAAAUAUGGAAACAGUAAUCUUGGUGGUUUGUCUAGCCUCAAUCUGUUCUGCAGUACAAGAGAAUAAAAAUGUCAAGUGUUAACAAGUGUUCAACUCGUCUCCAAAUUACCAGCAGCAUGAUCUUACAGGACUUCCUUUUCCCCAGGUACAUUUGCAAAUAUGUAUUUACAUUUACUGGCUAGAAGUCAGUGACAAAAAUGAUCUGAAAUGAAAUUGUGAAAUGCGCUGUUUAGAACAGUCAGCAUCAUAGGAGAAACAGAGUAAGCAGAGAGCAAUCUAUCCAGGAUGCUGCCCAGGCCAGGUUGCAGAAGGAUGACAAUCUAUAUGCAUUAAAGAUAUUUAAUAAUUUUCUAAAAAAAAUAAAUGUAAAAACUAAGUCAGGAAAUAUGAAUGUUAUUAUUGAUUAAGCUUUUGAAGGGGAAUUUUUCUCAAUAAAGGAAACCAUAUUUUCUACUCAGUCUUUUUCUUGUGUUUUCAUUAAGCAAUUUAAUAUAUCUGAAUCUUACUUUAUGUUGUAUUUCCUCUUUAUUACUUUAUAUUACAUCUCUCUGUUCAGAGAUUGAUAUAAUGCCUGGCUAGAAAGAAAGUAUGCCUUCUGUUCAAACAUAUAAUAAUUUCUGACCAACUUUAUGGUUUUUAUUGGGGAAAAAGUU